GGGGGAUUCACUGUUAUACUUGGAGGCCAUGUCACCUGAGAGUCAAUGGGCAACGAUCAAAUUUCACCUUGAGCAGAUUCUUUUGUUUGCUUUUUAGUCACAAAUAGCUUGGCCCUAAGUGGUGGCUCCCAUUCUUGUAAGAUGCGUUUAUUCAUCGUGUAAUCACCAGUUCCCUGUAGUGGGGGCGUGGAUGGAGUGUCAGAGGCUCCUGCUGGUCUUUAGGGUGUCUGGCCUCCAGGAAUCCUAGAGUAAAUUGGGAACUACAGCACUCGAUGUUAGAGUUGUCGUGAAGAUUAAAGAAGGUGACGACUGGACAACUCCCAGCCCAAUACCUGAAACUGUACCAGCACCCAGUGAGCACUGCUAUUCCUGUGACUGCUGCACAUUUGCCUUAUCUCAGCAGUAUGCCUGUGUCACUUUUUUGGCACUCUUUUCUCAUGGGUACAUUCAGAGAAGAGGAAUGUUUGUUCACUGGUGAAGAGAACAUCCCGUGUACUAUCGUGUAGAAGUUGUAGUAGACGCUGUGGUCUUUCCAACAACAAACAAAGUUCAAGGGUACAUGUGCACAUUGGUCAUAUAGGUAAAUUGCAUGUCAGAGUGGUUUGGCAUAUGGAUUAUUUCAUCACCCAGUGGGCAAGUCUAUGCAAACCUGUCCCCAAAGUCCAAGGAGGCUGAGAGGCCAAAGAAAGAGGCUGGCAAAUCCAGUCUCUUAAAAAGAAACAUUUAACAGUGUCUUACAAACAGAAGCCACGUCUGUGUCUUAGGGGACUAGACAAGAGAAUGGAUCCCCGCCAUUAGCCCCAGACCUGGAGCUCAUGUACCAGGGAAAGGGUGGUUCAGAAGAGACAUGCAGGACAACUGAAGUAUGACAACAUCACAGUUGUUUGACCUACAGGCAGGAUUUAUGCUAAGUGCCUGCUCUAACACAAGGAACAAUCGAUAAACUGAAAAUCUUGGAGGCCUUCCUGGAACUGGGGUUCAUCAAAGCCAACAUGGGAGAUUAGCUUCCAAGACAGAGUCUCUUGGCCUUAGUGGUGCUGCCUGCAGCAUUCUAGCACCCACCUCCACAUAAAAGCGAGAGGUGGUUCCCAUUUAUAUCGGAGUCUUGGAAGGAUCCAUACAUUUCAUGCAGGGAUGUCAGUCACGGCCAGCUGAUACACUUAUACAACAUUACUGAGACCAUAACUUUACAGUUUUUGUUCUUUCAAUGUAUCUCAAGGCCUGAUUCUGAGAAAUAAUACUGCUGGGGAAUUGUACAAAUGAUAUGCAUUUCAUUCUUCUGUUCUUCACUGCAUAAAAGAAACAAACUGUGAACUCGGACUUUAUCUGCCUGACCCCAGAUGGAGGAGCUUGUACUGCCUUGUCAUUAGUGUUGGGCUCUUGACUUACAUGGAGGGGUGCAUUUCGACAUGCCGCAGAAAGGUUUCCCAGGACGGGCAAUCAGAGGAGGUUUGUCAUCUGCUCAUCACCCAGUAUCUUCCUUAUUAAUAAUACUCAAGAGGGAAUUUUGUCUGAAUACUUCAGAGCUGGUCGUGGGGAUUGGGGGAGGUAAAAACAACAGAAAAUAAAGUUUCAUUCAAAAAUUUAA
ensembl:lncRNA LINC02669 long intergenic non-protein coding RNA 2669